rnacentral:lncRNA from 1 species
AACUCCAAAUAAUGGACAAGGUAGUUCUUCUCAUGAGGCUUCAGAUGACGCGAAGCAUAAGCAAUUUAUCUACAUCCCUGCAUUAAGACACACCCAAUACCAAUUUGAGAAGCAUUAUAAUACACUAUAUAAGAACCAGAAACUGAAGGUAGAAUUAGAACUAGAGUUGUGGUCAAAGCAGUCUUGAGCUUCUAAAAGCUCUCCUCACACUCAUACGACCACCUGAAAGGAGCACCCUUUUGGGUCAAUUUGGUCAAAUGCGAUGCAAUAGACAAGGAACCCUCCAUGAAGCGACGAAAAUAACUGGUCAAACCGAGAAAGCUCUGAAUCUCUGUAGUUGAGGACGGUUUGGGCCAACUCUAAAUCGCCUCUAUCUUCUUCGGAUCCACCUUAAUCCCCUCAUUGGACACCAGGUGCCCCAGGAAUGCCACCGAACUAAGACAGAACUCAAACUUGGAGAACUUGGCAUAAAGCUUCUCCUCCAUCAGCUGCUGCAACACAAUCCUCAAAUGCCAGGAACGCUCCUCCUGGCUACGUAAGUACACCAGGAUAUCAUCAAUGAAUACUAUGACAAAUGAGUCAAGAUAAGGCUGAAAUACAUUGUUCAUCAGAUGAAUGAAUGUUGCUGGGGCGUUAGUCAUCCCGAAAGACAUCACAAGGAACUCAUAAUGACCAUAACGGGUUUUGAAUGCUGUCUUUAGAAUAUCCGAGUCCUAAAUCUUCAAUUGGUGAUACACAGACCUCAAAUCAAUCUUAUAGAAAACCCUCGCUCCCUGAAGCUGGUCGAAUAGAUCAUCAAUACGUAGCAAAGGAUACUUGUUCUUAUUUGUAACUUUGUUCAACUGACUAUAGUCGAUGCACAUUCGCAUAACACCAUCCUUCUUCUUUAAAAACAAAACUGGUGCACCCCAAGGCGAUACACUAGGCCUAAUAAACACCUUAUCAAAAAUUUCAUGAAGCUACUCUUUCAAUUCCUUCAACUCAGUUGGUGCCAUACGAUACAGAGGAAUAGAAAUAUGCUUAGUGGCCGACACCAAGUCAAUAUCCUUGUCGGGCGGAUGCCCGACAGGUCUAUAGGAAACACAUCUGGAAAAAUCCCACACCACCGGAACAGAACCAAUAGUAGGAGUAUCAACACCAACAUCCCUCACAAAGGCCAAAUAAGACGGACACCCCUUCCUAACCAUCCAUUGGGCCUUCAAAUAUGAAAUCACUCUACUGGGAACAUAAUCUAGAGAAACUCUCCACUCGAUCCUUGACAACCCCGGCAUCGCCAACGUCACGGUCUUAGCUUGACAAUCCAGCAUAGCAUGACAUGGAGACAACCAAUCCAUACCUAUGAUCAUGUCGAAAUCAACCAUACUAAGUAAUAAGAGGUCAACUCUAGUCUCUAAUCCCUCAAUAGUUACUACACACAAUCGAUAUACAUGGUCCCCAAUAACAAUAUCACCCACUGGCAUGGAUACAUGAACAAAUAAAACUAAGGACUCACGGGGCAUAUCCAGAUAGUGGGUAAAAUACGAUGAUACAUACUAAUAAGUAAAACCAGGAUCAAAUAAUAUAGAAGCAUCCCUGUGACAUACUAAGACAAUACCUGUGAUCACUGCAUCUGAAGCAACAACAUCUAGCCUGGUAGGAAUAGCAUAGAAUUGGCCUUUACCACCACCUAAUCGGCCUCCCCCUCUAGGGCGACCUCUAGCUGCAUAGGCCCCACCCCAAACUGGCUAGGCGGGUGGUGUACUAACGGUGUGGAAGUCGCAACCUGACUCCACUACUGCAUUGGACCUCCCGGGCAAUGAGGACAUUGUCUCCACAUAUGCCCAAACUCCCAGCACUCAAAGCAAUACCUGGUGGUCGUGGUGGGGACUCUAAGGGGGACUCGAGUACAAGGAUAACUGCUAGAAGGACCUGGUAUAGAUGAACCCUGAGCCGAUGAAGCACGGGAUAAAAUUUGAGUUGGAUAGGCACUAAGAGAUGACUGACCCAGACGGGCACUGUAAGAACUAUGGCUAGAUGAUGCGCCACGAUGAACUGGACGAGCCAUCUGACUAGGCUUAUAAGGACGGCUCCUAUUGUGGUAAGGCUGCCCCCAGAAGAUGCACCACUGAAACCACCUGAACAUCGAGGUCUCUUGGCCUCCCUCUCCUCACGCUCCUAACUGUAAACCAUAUCUAGGUGAUGAGCAAUAUCAAUCACCUUGUCGAAUGUAGCACCUGAUACACUCUCCCGAGUUAUGACAAAAAGGUACUGAGAGUAGAGGCCAUCAAUGAACCUCCUGAUCCUCUCCCUCUCAGUGGGAACCAACCAAACUGCGUGACGAGCCAACUCUAAGAACCUCAUCUUAUACUGGGUCACAGACAUGCCAUCCUGACAUAGCUCCUCAAACUGUCUGCGCAGCUCCUCCCUAUGAGUCUGUGGCACGAACUUCUCCAAGAAGAGAAUGGAGAACUCAUGCAAUAUAAGUGGUGCUGCACCGACUGGCUUGCACCUCUCAUAGGCUUCCCACCACUUGAAAGCAGUCCCAGUGAACUAGAAAGUAGUGAAUGAGACCCCACUAGUCUCCAAAAUACUUGUCGUGCAAAGAAUCAGUUGGCACCUAUCCAAGAAAUCCUGGGCAUCCUCUGACUCUGACCCACUAAAUGAUCGAUACUGGAGCCUCCCAAACCUUUCUAGCCUCCUUUGCUCAUCAUCAGUCAUAACGGGACCCACCUAGGCAUGAGGAGAUGCAACCGGCUAGGCUAGUAGUACCCCCGGUGUAUGAAGUCCUUGCAUCACUUGCUCUGGAGUACAAGCAGCAGGCGUCUGGGUGCCUCCCCUAGCAUGAGAAGUGGAUGGCAUAGUCUGAAUAGAAAUCGCCUAAGCAAGGCUGGUGCAUACAGUCAAAAUCUGAGCCAAGGCCUCCUGAAGGUCUGGAAUCACAAUGGGCACAGCUGGUGCCUGAGCUGGCCCCACUGGCUCGACCAUAUCGGUUACCUACUCCUAAACCGGAGCAAUUGGUGGAUCUGUAUAUGCUACUCUAGCUGCUAUACGAGCUGCACCUCUUCUCCCACCACAGCCCCUAUCAUGCCCUCGACCUCUCUGGCCCUAGCUAGUGGUGCUGGUGGUUGUCCGCCCUAUCAAAUAGCACGCGUCCUCACCAUCUAUGAGAGAAUAGAAUAACAGAAGUUUAGUCAUUGGAAUCCACAAAUUCACACGUUAAGAACACAAAAAAGUGAAGUUUCCUAAGGGUUCGGCAGCCUCUCGAAGAUAAGCACAGAUGUCUCUGUAUCGAUCUGCAAGACUCUACUAAACCUGCUCAUGACAAGUGAGAAUUAUUUAACCUAGGCUCUGAUAUCAACUUGUCACAACCCAAAACAUAACCUAACGUGAUGGCACCUAACAUGGUACUAGGCAAGCCGACAACUUAAUAAAUUCCAACACUCUUAGAUAAAAGAUGACAAAAAUAGGUUUGAAUAAUUUAAUGCUUUCAUAAACUGGAUAAAAGGCCAAACUCAAUUCAAAUUUCCAAAACGAGGGUGUCAAUGAGUACAUGAGCAUCUAUACAAUACAAGUCUGAAAAUAUUGUCUAUGAAAAGCGAAAACUAAAUACAUAAAGUUGAAAGAUAGGGAAGGAGAGUUAAGGUCUGCGAAUGUUGGGAAACUACCUCAAAAUCUCCAAAUGAUCAAAUUGCUAAAAUAAUCAACACCUACCGUGUCCGAAAAUACAUGGAUCUACACAUGAAGUGCAGGGUGUAGCGUGAGUACAACCAACUAAGUAAGUAACAAAACUAACUAUUGGACUGAAAGUAGUGACAAGCCUCACGGUGCAAUUCAAUUACAGAUAUAUAGUACAGGAAAAGUAGGCAUGCUCAAUCCUCCCAAUCCUCCCAUUCACUCCAACCUCACAAUCAUAGUAAUAGUCCAUCAGUCCUCCCAUUCACACCAACCUCACAAUCAUUCAUUCCUCACAGUUACUCAAUCCUCCCAAUCGCUCGACACUCGCACUUAGUAGGUACCUGUGCUCACGGUGGAUGUGCAGACUCUGGAGGGGCAUUUCUAGACCAAGCGCUAUUAUAAGCCAAUCAUGGCAUAAAUCAAAAUAACAAGUUGUGGUGUGCAUCCCGUUCCAAUAAAUAUCCUCACAAUUUAGGCCCUCGGCCUGAGUCAGUCAUCAAUAUCUCCAGUCUCUCGGGCUUUCAAAAAUCAUGAUAAUUAGCCCAAACAAAGAAGAUAUAGUGUAUCAAUAAAGGACAACAGAGACUGAGAUAUAAUAUGCAGUAAAAGCUAUGACUGAGUAAAGAAUGAUAGUUUAGCAAAUAACUCAGCAUAUGACAUGGCCUCUAUGGGUCCCUACAGUACUAACAUAUAGCCUAAGCAUAAUUUCUAACAUGACUGGCAUCUCAAUUCUUUAACACAAGAUGAAAAUAUGAAUAACGACCAGAUAAAUCAACUAUGUAGUCCCAUGAAAUCGACCAAGUCACAAUUCUUACGGUGCACGCCCAUCACCUAGCAUGUGUGUCAUCUCAACACCAAUCACAUAAUACAAAAUUCAGGGUUUCAUUCCCUCAUAACCAAGUUUAGAAGUGUUACUUACCUCAAGUUGUGCAAAUCCCUACUCCGAUAAGCCUUUGCCUCCGAAACGACCUCCAAAUGUUUUGAAUCUAGCCUCAAACAGUUCGAUACAAUCAACACGCGCUAAAGGAGUCAAUUUCAUAAUAAAAUACUAAGCUCUUAAUCAAAAGUCAAAAAGUUAACUCAAAAGUUGUCCCCCAGACCCGCAUCUCGGAAUUAAAUAAAAAUCACAAAAUUUGGAAGCCCAUUCAACCGCAAGCCUAACCAUACCAAAUUUACCAAAAUCCGACACCAAAUCAUCACCCAAAUCCCCAAUUUAACUAUCUAAAUCACUAACCUCAAACUCACAAAAUUACACCUCAACAUACGCUAUCUAGGUGGGAAAUUCAAUGGGGAAGAAUAAUUAUUGAAUAAAUUUAACCACAAGUGACUUACCCCAAGAAACCCCUCGAUAAUCCUCUCAAAAUUCGUCUAAGUCUAAGCUUUAAAUGUCCAAAAUGAAGAAAAGUACGGAGUCCUCGAAUUUAAGGUUAUGUCCAGCCUUUUUGCUCCUGCAGAAACUUAACCACAUCUGUGGCAUCACAUAAGUGACAAUCCUUCCGCUUGUGCGGUGAACCACUGACACUGGUCUUUCGCACCUGUGGACUAUGCUCCACUCCUGUGCAAACGCAGGUGCGACCCUCUUUCUUGCUCCUGCAUUGGCCUCCGCUUUUGUGCUCAACCUCUCCGCAUCUACGACCACGCAGGUGCAGAAAAUCCUUCGCACCUGCGAUCCACCCAAGGACAGACCAAUCUCGCUUCUGCGCCACUCCAGCCGCACCUGUGGCCAAUCUCCUCGCAGGUGUGAUCACACUAGAAGACUCCGAGCUUCAGCAAUGCUCUGAGUCUCAUUUUUGAUUCGUUAACUAUCUGAAAUCAACCCAAGGCCCCCAGGAUCUCAACCAAACACACAGACAAGACCUAAAACAUGAUACGAACUUAGUCGAGCUUUCAUAUCAUAUCAAACAACACUAAAACCAUAUGAAAACUAAGGAAAUUCCAAUUUCAACAAACGAUGCUGAAACCUAUCAAAUCACGUCCUAUUGACCUCAAAUUUUUGCACACAAGUCACAAACAACACCACAGACCUACUUCAACUCCCUAAAUCCUAAUCUAAGCCUGGUAACUACAAAGUCCACUCUCAGUCUAACUUCCAAAUUUUUCACUUUCGCUAUUUCAAGCCUAAUUGAACUACGGAACUCUAAAUCACAAUUCGGACACGCUCAUAAGUCUAAAUUCAUCCAGUGAAGCUAACAAAACCAUUGAAACUCUAAUUCAGAGCCAUUUGCACACAUGUUAACAUCCGGUCAAUCUUUUCAACUUAAGUUUCCAACCUUAAGACUAAGCGUCUUAAUUCAUUCUGAAACCUCUCCGGACCCGAACCAACUACCUCUACAAGACACAUAACAACAAUUAAGCAGGGAAUGAGCUGUAAAUAGGAGAACGGGGCUACAACUCUCAAAACUAUUGUUCGGGUCGUUACAGUUGGAUAGUUGCAUGCCACAUCAUUCCUUUUAACUCUUUGUUCAAAAAUGUCGAGUUGAAAUUGCUCUUCAAAUGACUAAGACAUAACCAAUGAUAUGCAUUCAGCUCAUGUAGCUGGACGAGCUCCUCAAAACUUUGAAUAAUUCCAGGAGACCGAUGUGAUAUCUAUGUAACUCCACUGCAACAUUUUACAAAAUUCACUCCAAGACAUGACAAGAACCACGACUAAGCAUAUUUUGACUCCUUAUCAAUAAUUGCAAAUGCUAAUAGGAAUAUCUACCCAUUUGUAUCUGUAGUCACAACAAUUAACAUAUUUAAGUCGCACUUUUCAUAAAUGUGAGUGCCAUCAAUGGAUAUAAUAAGUAUGCAACUCUUAAAUCCUUUAAUAUAAGGUUUAAAUGCCCAAAAAACAUACUUAAAGAUAUUAUCUCCAUCAUUGAUUGAUCUGCAUGUACCCAUUCCACCACAGUUCCUGGAUUAAAAUGCUUGAGUGCAUUCAUAUACAUAGGAAGCUGUGCAAAUGACUCAUCAAAGUCACUAUUUAUUAUCUUGAAUGCAUGCCUACGACUGAGCCAAGAUUUUUUCUAUGAAGGAGUGUGUGAAACUGCAACCUUAACAGUAGUCUGCACCUCUUAAAGCUUGAACUAAGGAUUGUUCCUAAUAUAAGGUAAUAACAAAGAAUUAAUAAGAUUAGUAUCCAAGUUGUAAUGAUCCUCUGAGUUUACACCCAUCAGACAGGUGUGCUUUUACAAUAGUAUUUUCCAAUUGUCCAUAAAUUGGUUUGAGUUUUCCUGCCUCUGAGCAUCCACUUGCAUCUGGAUUCUCACCUCUUGCAAUGAACGGUCCAAUGAUUCUUUUUUGCUUCCCAUACCUUAAACUCCCUAUUUUCCCGCAAACUCCAAUGUUUUACAGGAGUUUUAGUCUCUUCUUGGCCGAGAACAACAUUCCAGACUCAAGAGUAAUUGCAUUAUCAUCUAUCCAAUUUUGUAAUGAACACCUUUUGACUUAUGGGUAGAUGCAAACACCUCUAGAUGCCCCUAAGUAUCAUAUAAAAAUUGAAUGUUCUCCCUAUGAAAUGGUUGUGUCUGUUGUACAUCAUGGACUUGCAGUUGGCUAUCAUCGUCAACAUCUUGAUCAGAACCACAAUCAUAAACCUCAUUUGACUCAUAUGUGUCACUCGGGGCAUCACUGCCAGAAUCAUCACUCCCUUCGUCGACAUGAGCAUCAGCUUCAACACGAGCCAGCAUAUCUGAAAAUAUUGGAAUAUGUGGGAUUUCAUUAUUCUCAAGUUCGUUGUUUGCAUUGCUGGUUCCUACACCAUCUCCAAAAUUAUGAUAAUGAUAAUUUUCAGUGGAAAAUAGUAUGCCAAAACUAGUACAACCAUGGCAAUAGCUACUAGGUGUUGGUUUAAUUUCGGGUGAUGUACUUUGUGAUAACAACCUUGUAAAACUAUGAAACUAUGAAUAACUACCCGGUGGAUCAGUACAUGGUACAUAAGCUUCGGAUGGAGGCUCAUUAAGAUUAAAAGAUGGCACAUUAGAAAGUAGAGGUGACUUGUGAAACAUAUUUGUAGGCUCAACAACCUCUAAUAAUUCUGUUUUUAUAAACAUCUCAAGCAUAUCAAAAUUUAUCAUAUGCCUUAAUCUAUCAGGUACCCUCAAAAAAUCUUGCAAUAACUCACUAUCAACAAUAAGAAUUUCUAUAUAUCAAGCAAUACUUGUGUGGUCUGAUAUGGUCAACUACCAUAGAUAACAAGCGUUACCUCGUUAGGGUUGGUUUUCGUCCUAAUAUGCAAGUUCCUAACUAACUACUCAUACUCAACAUUUAGACAUAAUUUCACAAUGGCACGAGCAACACAAUUAUAUCUAAUUGUGUCAGUUUCAUAAAUUAUCUCACCGCUCCAGUAUAUCGCAAUCCUUACACACUGAUUAGUUGACAUUUUAAAACCUACAAAAAGUAGCUAUUAUAAUCAAUAAAUAAUAGCAACAUUUGGCAAUGACAUUACAAACUAUGAAAAUAAUACUAACCAUUUAACAAAUUUUGGUAUAUCCAAACACACCAUACACAUCAUGAAAUAACAUCGGUUAUAUAUAGAAUCCAAAUGCAUGUAUUCUAGCAUUUUUUUCCCACAAAAGACGCAUUUGAUACGUAAACCUUCCAUUUUUCACAUAAGGCGCAAUCUGACAAUGAGUCUCCCGUAAAGCUGUAGCAUCAAACAUUUAUCAAAUCCAUGUCAGUCGGUUGAAUAUAAUUAAAACUGAAGGCGCCCCACCCCAUUGAGACUUCUAUGUAAAUAAAAAAUAAGGAAGGCGCAUCAGUUAAUCACACUGUCACACCUCCUUUUUCCCGAGGGGGAUAUAAGGGAAUUUUUUCAAUUAAAGUGACAUUAAUAGAAAUGGAAUUGUUUAUUUAAUUUCAUAGUCGCCACUUGGGAUAAUUUAUGGUGUCCCAAGUCACCAGUUUAUUUUAAAUCCCAAAUCAAGGAAAUUGACUCUAUUUUUGGUCUGCGAACACAGAAGACCGGGUAAGAAAUUCUGUUAACCUGGGAGAAGGUGUUAGGCAUUCCCGGGUUUCGUGGUUUUAGGACGGCCGCUCAACUAUUAGUAAUUGGCCUAAUUAUCUGAUUAAUUAUAUGUUUUAAACCUAUUGUGCAUUUUUAACUAAAUAACCGCUUUUACUUAUUAUUGAUUUAUUUAUGGAACAAGCCACGAUUGUCGUACACUUGUUGUUUUGGUACACAUUGCAAACCGCAUCACAUGAAAUGCACCCGCGAUUUACAACAUGUUUAUUUUUAUAUUAUUCGAAGUUGUGGUAGGGUCACAUGAAAUGCACACGCGAAUUGGGAUUAUGGAUAACGACUAUACCACGGGAACCGUACCCAUAGUCACGAUGAUUUAUUAAUCAGGCCUAAAGCAAGCUACGGGGUUCAAUAGUUUAAAUAUUUUUCUAAAAUUUAUUGUUAUAUGAAGAUUCAUAUUUGCGAAAUUUAUUGGGCCUUUUUCAAACCUACAAACUAAUAUCUAACUUCUAUAACUUCUGUAAUUGUUUUAACUACAUCUAAUUUCAUUUAACAAACAAAAGAAGAAAUCAAACCAUGAAUAUUUAAUACAUUUUUUUAACAAACAUGUUGAAUAUCCCAACUCAUAAAAAUGGCAAUAUGUCAAAAACAGAGAAGAAAUCGGAAUAUACACCAAAUCACGUCUUAGUUCAAGCUUGACAUGAGCUAUCACAAAAUGAAGCAAAAUUGAAGAUUCAACCUUAACAAAAAAAUAAAACGGACCUUAGUUAAACUUGACUCGCCGAAUAGGAUCUCGAGCGGACAACCUCGCCGGAAAAUCGAAUUAAACCAAAUAAUGAAACCAACAGACUCUAUGACAGUGACUGGCGAUUUGGAGCUGCUUCGGGCUGUUUGUGGUGCUUAUUUUCAAGUGUCCAUUUCCCCCCUAUUUUUAUCUAUCUACAUUACCAAAUGUUGUGUGAACUUUCUUGGAGAAUCCAUUGUCCUCCUCUCUAUUUUUGCGUCUAUCCGUUCCUCUGUUCUUUAGUUUUUUUAGCUUCGUAAAGUGUGGUCUUAAGAAGAAGGGUAUGGAAGAUAAAAAGGGGAUGGGUGUUGGAAUUGUUGGUGGCGUUGAAGAAAUCAGGGGUCGCCGCUGCUUCAUUUCUUGGAGUGCCGAAGAAGAUGGGUCUUUUGUGUUCUAAUCAUGAAGAAGAAAAAGUUCAAGGUGGGGGUCUCUUUUUUGGGGUUCUGC